AACGAACGCUGGCGGCGUGCUUAACACAUGCAAGUCGAACGGUGACCCUCGGAGCUUGCUUCGGGGUGAGCAGUGGCGAACGGGUGAGUAACACGUGAGUAACCUGCCCCUGACUCUGGAAUAAGCGCCGGAAACGGCGUCUAAUACCGGAUACGACACGCCUCCGCAUGGGGCGCGUGUGGAAAGUUUUUCGGUCUGGGAUGGACUCGCGGCCUAUCAGCUUGUUGGUGAGGUAAUGGCUCACCAAGGCGAUGACGGGUAGCCGGCCUGAGAGGGCGACCGGCCACACUGGGACUGAGACACGGCCCAGACUCCUACGGGAGGCAGCAGUGGGGAAUAUUGCACAAUGGGCGAAAGCCUGAUGCAGCGACGCCGCGUGAGGGAUGACGGCCUUCGGGUUGUAAACCUCUUUCAGCAGGGAAGAAGCGAAAGUGACGGUACCUGCAGAAGAAGCACCGGCUAACUACGUGCCAGCCGCCGCGGUAAAAC
rnacentral:rRNA from 1 species